CAGUCGCCGCGGUAAUACAGAGGGUGCGAGCGUUAAUCGGAUUUACUGGGCGUAAAGCGUGCGUAGGCGGCUAAUUGAGUCGGAUGUGAAAUCCCCGAGCUUAACUUGGGAAUUGCAUUCGAUACUGGUUAGCUAGAGUGUGGGAGAGGAUGGUAGAAUUCCAGGUGUAGCGGUGAAAUGCGUAGAGAUCUGGAGGAAUACCGAUGGCGAAGGCAGCCAUCUGGCCUAACACUGACGCUGAGGUACGAAAGCAUGGGGAGCAAACAGGAUUAGAGACCCCUGUAGUCCCUGUCUCUAUACA
rnacentral:rRNA from 1 species